AGACUGCUGUUUUAGAAAAUCAUAUCUGAUUAUUUGCUCAGCAGAAGAUUAUUGAGUUGAUUUAGCUGUGAUUUUACUUAACAAAGCUUCAACUGCAUUCCUACUGUGGAGUCCAAAAAAGGUAGAGAGAUAUAAAUGAUACAUUCACACUGUGAUUUUUGUGAACAGGGCCGUCGAUGCACCCCUCGGAGCUAAUAGCGGAGAUGAGAAACAGUGGGUUUGCACUGAAACGAAAUGUACUGGGGAGAAACUUGACCGCAAAUGAUCCAUCGCAGGACUAUGUCGCAAGUGACGGUGAAGAAGACCCUGAAGUUGAGUUCUUAAAGUCGCUCACCACCAAACAGAAGCAGAAGCUUCUCAGGAAAUUGGAUAGACUUGAAAAGAAAAAAAAGAAAAAGAAAAGUGAUAAGAAAAAGAAGAAGUUACAGAAGAGCAAAAAUAAACACAAAAAACAUAAAAAAUCCUCCUCUUCCUCAUCUUCUUCCUCCUCCUCCUCCUCUUCUUCCUCCUCCUCUUCCUCUUCCUCUUCCUCAUCCUCCACCUCCUCCUCGGAGACAGAUAGCAGCAGUGAGAGUGACAACAAAGAAAAGAAAGAGAAAGAGAAGAGGAAGAAAAGGAAGAAAACCAAGUGUUCUGGAAAUAAAUCCGGUGACUGUAAAGAGUACAAGUCUAAGAACAUGCUUUAUGAAGAACUUUCUAGCAGCCAUAGUGACAGGGGGAAAGCCCAGGAAAAAUUAAGGCUUCUAAAACAAGAGAGUUCUGGAGAAAAUAGCACAUGGGU
rnacentral:lncRNA from 1 species